CCCUGUGGCUCAGAUGGUAGAGCAUGAUGUUCACAGAAUGUUGGUUCUGUGAGGAGCUGAGGAUUCAACCUCCAGACCCUCUCGUUUGGUACGAUGUCACCCAAUCUCAGGGAGAAGGUUAAACCCUUGACAUUCCAGGAAGUGAAUGUAAGCCCCGCCCUCCUCUCAUUUGUAGUUCCUAUGGUGGCCUGCAUAACAUGGGACAGUGCUAGUAACAGUGGCUUGACUGCGGCUGGUGCUGUUCCCCUAGUCCAUGGACCUCUCCGACACCUGAAGGACUGGGGACGAAGGAAAGGUAACAGUCUAGUCCCCCCGGACCCUCUGAGCCACCUUCACCACUCAUAUCACCCUCAAUCCCUCCACCAAGACAGUUCAGGGGGCCACCAGGCAGUCAGUGGUGAGGCAUGCCAAGACCUGUGAACAGCCAAGAACCACCGAAUAACAUAAACUACCCGCCAGAAGCCCUCAACCCCAGUAACCCAUCACCAUGACCCUGAAAAUACCAUCAGAACAGAAAGACACACUCCAGAUGGCUGUUCAUGUUUACAUCCCCACUAGGGAAUCCAUCCAUAGAUACCACAAGCGUCCAGCCUUUGCACUUCCUCCAGCACCAGUCCCAGCAUCAACUCAGUUCCCGGUUUCCAGUACCAGACCACGAAACGAGACACAGACCUUCACUUCACAGAUUGUUCUUCCUCCCCUCUACAGACCCGGUACCCAGCCAUGGUUACCAGCCCCUUCGUCAACCCUGGACACAGCAUUGGCCACCACAACUGCCACCUCCACCCAGCCACUGAAUAUACAUUUUUCUAUGGUGUUCAUCAUUUUUUUCAGCAUACCUUUUGAUGAGCAGUUGAUUAGAUUUUUCUGCUAUGAUUUCAUGACUUAUUGAUGUAAUUCCUUAUUAUUUAUUGAACUGUUUAUUUACUGAAUUAUUGAUUAUCUUUUAACUUGAUUGAAAUGUGUACAUGGUUUAACUUAAUAUACAGUAUAAUAUAAAUAAUAUUAACAUUGCUGUUUACAUAUAGUAAUAAAGUGGUAACACAUACACCUCUAUAAACAUCACUGGAACUACAAAUCUUUGCAUCCAGCCUUAGCAUGUACUUGACAGUACAACAAAACUGAUGAACAGGAAUUACAUUUAAUCUACUGGGUAGCCAAAAAAGAUCUACAGUGCCUUGCAAAAGUAUUCACCCCCUUGGUGAUUUUCCUAUUUUGUUGCAUUACAACCUGUUAUUUAAAUGUAUUU
rnacentral:lncRNA from 1 species